CAGCACUACUAGCAGUUAAGAAAAAAAUUCUUUAUUAGUGUGCAAAUGUUUUUGGCUCAAUGGCCAUCUUCAGACUACACAAAUUAGAAGUAUAACACGCUUUCUCUAAGAAUUCUUAUAUUAGAACAAACAGAAGUUGCUAUGGUUACAAACAGCAACCAAAAAACAGAAUAAAAUUAAAAGAAAUAAAACACACAUAAGAUAUUACACACAGAACACACAGAAAUUGUAAAAUGUACUAUUUUAAAAUAUUACACAAAAUUAAAUGGCUAAAUAAGUAAAUAGAACUCAGUUAUGUACAGUCCUAAUGGGGUACAAUAAUGGCUUAUAGCAGUCUAGUUUUUGCUUGUCGUGUUGUAUAUUUCCAGGGGAGUGGAGAUUUGAAUAUCAGUCCUUCAUUUAUAAUGUCUUCUCUGUUUUUUCUUCUUAUUAUUUCAAAUGAUUCGGCUGAUAGAGCCUAUGUCAGUAUAUUAAUUUGUCUUAUAAUCUUGGCUUCUUACUAUUUGAUUUUGAAGUCUCUGUGGCCAAGGCUGUGGUUAAUCUCACUUUCUCUGUGUCCUUUUGUGCUCUUUUAUUCUCUGGGCUAACAUUCUUUUGGUUACCCCUGUGUCUGAGUUUCUCGGCAUGUCUGCUUGUCCUCCACUGGAAUUCUGUACAUUCCUUUCUUCUCUUUGAACGGAUCCUUGUCAUUUCUCGUGAUAUUAAAAAUUGUCGGGCCUUUUCUCAUUGCUAAUUUCUUCUUUCUUUUCCUUGCUAUUCUCUUUAUAACAUUAAGAUUCUUUAUAUUAUAUAGCAUUGAUAUGUAUUCUUCUUAUCUUGUUACUGCA
rnacentral:lncRNA from 1 species